rfam:Brachypodium distachyon strain Bd21 chromosome 4, whole genome shotgun sequence.
CUGGUACUCCCUCCGUCCCAUAUUAAAUGACUCAAAUUUGCCCAAAUAUGCAUGUAUCUAUACCCAAAACGCGUUUAGAUACAUGUAAUAUUUCAUCACUUAAUAUGGGACGGAGGAAGUAUGUU